AGAAGUGAGCGUACCCAAACUUUUACCGAUAAUAACUCAUAUGAGGGAUUUAGGUAUUGGGCAUUUUGCAAGCCUAUUGGAAAGUAUACAUAUCUGUGUACGUACAGAAUAGGAGCUUAUGUCGGAAGGAUGGCUUUAGUAUAAUGAACCAUUCGCAGCAUUCGAUUGCGAAUGACUCACUGGUGCACAGCUAUUGAAGAACUGUUGGCAAAUAAACGAGAAAGAAGCAGUUUCGAUGCUAGAAAGUCAAUAUUGUUAUUAAGUCUCAAGAAAAAAUGCCUUGUAGUUUAAAGUAUAUAAGGAAUGGUACAUUAAACUAAAGCCAGCCUCCCGACAUAAGCUACUGUUCAUAGGAACGCAAAUAUAUUCGUGUACAAAGAAUCGUGAUUAUAUUAAUUAAGUCCUAUGAUAAGUUUGUGAAUC